rnacentral:rRNA from 1 species
CUACGGGUGGCUCCAGUCGAGAAUAAUUCACAAUGGGGGCAACCCUGAUGGUGCAACGCCGCGUGGAGGAUGACGGUCUUCGGAUUGUAAACUCCUGUCAUCCGGGAGUAAGACCUGGCGGUUAACAGCCGACAGGGUUGAUAGUACCGGAAGAGGAAGGGACGGCUAACUUCGUGCCAGCAGCCGCGGUAAUACGAAGGUCCCGAGCGUUGUUCGGAAUCACUGGGCGUAAAGGGAGCGUAGGCGGCGUGGUAAGUCAGAUGUGAAAUCCCGGGGCUCAACCCCGGAACUGCAUCCGAUACUGCCGUGCUAGAGGAUUGGAGAGGUAGCUGGAAUUCACGGUGUAGCAGUGAAAUGCGUGGAUAUCGUGAGGAACACUCGUGGCGAAAGCGAGCUACUGGACAACUCCUGACGCUGAGGCUCGAAGGCCAGGGUAGCGAAAGGGAUUAGAUACCCUAGUAGUC